CUACAAUGGGCCUGCGAGGAAGGAGAGCAACGGCAGUUGCCUGCCUUGGUAUUAAGCAUGAAGGAAACCGAUAAGAAAAAGAGGCCAGCUAUUGUCUUCCUGCAUAGUACAAACAAAUGUAAAGAGUGGUUACGACCAUUACUAUAGGCAUAUGCUUCGAGGGGAUACAUAGUUGUAGCAAUUGAUUCUCGAUACCAUGGACACCAAGAUGACAACAUAUCGUGAUGUAAGAACAGGUGUGGGACUUGAUAAAACUGGCGGAUUAUAUCUAACAAAGAGGGAAGAUAUUGACUCGUCAAGGAUAGAAUUACUAGUGAAUCACUUGGAG